UGUCGCACGAGGACCUGGAGCGAGCGCACACAUGGGCGCGAGCGUGCCACGAGAACGCUUGUUUAUAAACAGAUCAUGGAUAGAUAGACAACUAAACUGACAAGGCUGUACAAAUACAAGGAAUAUGAAUUGAUAUGAAAGAUACUUAUUAGUAUCUUUAGAGACAUCACUAGUUUUACCUGCGUUGCGUGACAACCAAAUAGAGAAGGACACGCAACACAGCAUGCACAGGGAUAACAAGGACAGAAAAUAGUUGUCAGCGAAAAUCUUUUAGGAGAAACAAAGGAAAAGCGCCAGUGAGCACGAGGAUGCAAAACAAAGAGCUACUUUAAUCAUUAACAGGAGGAAGAGCAAUGCAACACGGCUGCACAUUUCAGCUCUGGAUGAUGCAGACAUGUCGAUCAACCUGAAGCCAUGUGUGUUUCUGUACCUUAUCUAAAUAUCGACUAAAUGCCUACCACGUUUUUUUGUUGUUGUUGUUGUUGUUGUUUGUUUUUGUUUUGUGUUUCUAAUACCCACAUAGCUAACGCUUCCUCUUCUCUCCAAGCAAAUCAAGGAAGAGGGUUGUCAUUACAUUACCAUUCAAUCUAUACAAAGAAUAUUAACGCAUAUAUAUAGCUGUUAAAUAAUAAUAAUAAAAAUAAUAGUAGCAGAAUUUUACAAUGAUAUAUGUAUAGAAACUCUCAACUCACCACCUGAACAGGAUCUUCUUCCUCAGCGCAAAGCUCUGACAUAAACACUAAACUGUUGAUUUGUUGAUGUAUUUUUCCCCACAGCAGACUGCUUGCUGUUGUGUGAUUGUCUGG